rnacentral:rRNA from 1 species
UAUUACCGCGGCUGCUGGCACAGAGUUAGCCGGUGCUUAUUCUGUCGGUAACGUCAAAACAGCAAAGUAUUAAUUUACUGCCCUUCCUCCCAACUUAAAGUGCUUUACAAUCCGAAGACCUUCUUCACACACGCGGCAUGGCUGGAUCAGGCUUUCGCCCAUUGUCCAAUAUUCCCCACUGCUGCCUCCCGUAGGAGUCUGGACCGUGUCUCAGUUCCAGUGUGACUGAUCAUCCUCUCAGACCAGUUACGGAUCGUCGCCUUGGUGAGCCAUUACCCCACCAACUAGCUAAUCCGACCUAGGCUCAUCUGAUAGCGCAAGGCCCGAAGGUCCCCUGCUUUCUCCCGUAGGACGUAUGCGGUAUUAGCGUCCGUUUCCGAACGUUAUCCCCCACUACCAGGCAGAUUCCUAGGCAUUACUCACCCGUCCGCCGCUCUCAAGAGAAGCAAGCUUCUCUCUACCGCUCGACUUGCAUGUGUUAGGCCUGCCGCCAGCGUUCAAUCUGAGCCAGAAUCAAACUCU